rfam:Loxodonta africana unplaced genomic scaffold scaffold_5, whole genome shotgun sequence.
GGUCUGUUUGCCUGAACCCAUCAACAGCUGGGAGAGGAAUCAACCACUCUGAAAAUGU